AUUGAACGCUGGCGGCAUGCCUUACACAUGCAAGUCGAACGGCAGCACGGGGCAACCUGGUGGCGAGUGGCGAACGGGCGAGUAAUGCAUCGGAACGUACCUUUCAGUGGGGGAUAACGUAGCGAAAGUUACGCUAAUACCGCAUAUUCUGUGAGCAGGAAAGCAGGGGACCGCAAGACCUUGCGCUGAUUGAGCGGCCGAUGUCAGAUUAGCUAGUUGGUGAGGUAAAGGCCCACCAAGGCGACGACCUGUAGCGGGUCUGAGAGGAUGAUCAGCCACACUGGAACUGAGACACGGUCCAGACCCAUACGGGAGGCAGCAGUGGGGAAUAUUGGACAAUGGGGGCAACCCUGAUCCAGCCGUGCCGCGUGAGUGAAGAAGGCCUUCGUGUUGUAAAGCUCUUUCGGCCGGGAAGAAAUCGCACGGGCUAAUACCCUGUGUGGAUGACGGUACCGGAAUAAUAAGCACCGGCUAACUACGUGCCGGCAGCCGCCGCGGUAA
rnacentral:rRNA from 1 species